ACCUUCGUGGUGUAGUGGUCAGCACGCUGGGCGCGUAUUCCAGAGGUCCUUGGUUCGAGUCCCGGCGAAGGAA
rnacentral:tRNA from 1 species